CUCUGCAACACUGAAUUAGAAGAGGGCCUCACCCUGCAGAGGAGAGGACGCUAAGGAAAGCAUCAGCUUUGUGCCUGAACCCCAAGCACUUUUUCCACUCACUUAAAAUGCUGCCUGAUGACACCCCACACGGCUCUGAGCCUCUGUGGGGCUCCCAGCCCUGGGCUGCAGACGCAGGACUCUAAGCACAACACCCCAGUUCUCCAGAGAGAAGGCGUCUCCUUCUAAUCCUGCACCCCGCACCCGAGUUAUCCCCACAAACCAGAACACAUUUACUCCCAGAAGAUGCUGUUUGUUGAAAUGGGGAGCUGGAGGAAGCAGGGCCAACGGGGCAGGAGAGAGGGGCAGGUCUGAAGAAAAUGUAGACAGAAAUGCCUCCAUGGGGUGAGGAUCCAGUGCUUCCUGUGAGGCUGGCUGCUGGCAGGAAGGCGGAGAAAGCAAAUUCUCCCGCAAGGGUGUGUUUCUGAAAGUGGCUGGGAUCUAAGAAGUGGGAGGUAUGGGAACGGAAUGCAUCUUUCUGUAUCUUGAUUGAAGAUCAAAACAACUUCUAUUCUUGCAAAUUCCCUUAGAAAUACAGCCUCAUGGGGAUCGAGAAAGGAAUUUAUUUCUUCACAAAGCUUACCAAGCAGCCUGGCUGGGAGCCAUUUGGCAGUUUCUCCAGCAGGAAACUUCUGGAGAAGCAACAGGGCCCCCUCCUCAUGCUACAGGACCAGACUGAGGGAGCUCAGUCUCUCAGUUCCUGCCCUGGGUAACCUCACAGACAGGGUGCAUCCUGGAGGUGCACAGGGCAGCUCCCCAGCUGACCCUCCAGUGACUGAGGAGCUUGCCAGGCAAGGUGAAUGGCCUAAACCUGAGCUGUUCAGUUUGGGAUUGCAGGGGCUCACAAUGCCCCCAGAUAAGCAUGCUAUAUGUGGACCACCAGUUUUACCCAAGGAGC
rnacentral:lncRNA from 1 species